rnacentral:rRNA from 1 species
CCUACGGGUGGCUGCAGUGGGGAAUAUUGGACAAUGGGGGGAACCCUGAUCCAGCCAUGCCGCGUGUGUGAAGAAGGCCCUCGGGUUGUAAAGCACUUUCAGUGAGGAAGAACGCCUGGUGGUUAAUACCUAUCAGGAAAGACAUCACUCACAGAAGAAGCACCGGCUAACUCCGUGCCAGCAGCCGCGGUAAUACGGAGGGUGCGAGCGUUAAUCGGAAUUACUGGGCGUAAAGCGCGCGUAGGUGGCUUGAUAAGCCGGUUGUGAAAGCCCCGGGCUCAACCUGGGAACGGCAUCCGGAACUGUCAAGCUAGAGUGCAGGAGAGGAAGGUAGAAUUCCCGGUGUAGCGGUGAAAUGCGUAGAGAUCGGGAGGAAUACCAGUGGCGAAGGCGGCCUUCUGGACUGACACUGACACUGAGGUGCGAAAGCGUGGGUAGCAAACAGGAUUAGAUACCCUUGUAGUC